rnacentral:rRNA from 1 species
GAUGAACGCUGGCGGCGUGCUUAACACAUGCAAGUCGAACGAAGCACUUAAUGAGAUUUCUUCGGAUUGAUUAUUUUGUGACUGAGUGGCGGACGGGUGAGUAACGCGUGGGUAACCUGCCCCAGACCGGGGGAUAACAGUCGGAAACGACUGCUAAUACCGCAUAAGCGCACAGUGCCGCAUGGCACGGUGUAGAAAAACUCCGGUGGUCUGGGAUGGACCCGCGUCCGAUUAGUUAGUUGGUGGGGUAACGGCCCACCAAGACUGCGAUCGGUAGCCGACCUGAGAGGGUGACCGGCCACAUUGGGACUGAGACACGGCCCAGACUCCUACGGGAGGCAGCAGGUGGGGGAUAUUGCGCAAGUGGGGGCAACCCUGACGCAGCAACGCCGCGUGAAGGAUGAAGGUUUUCGGAUUGUAAACUUCUUUUAUUAAGGACGAAACUUGACGGUACUUAAUGAAUAAGCUCCGGCUAACUACGUG